CAGCCGCCACGGGAAUACGAAGGGGGCUAGCGUUGCUCGGAAUCACUGGGCGUAAAGGGUGCGUAGGCGGGUUUUUAAGUCAGAGGUGAAAUCCUGGAGCUCAACUCCAGAACUGCCUUUGAUACUGAAAGUCUUGAGUAUGGGAGAGGUGAGUGGAACUGCGAGUGUAGAGGUGAAAUUCGUAGAUAUUCGCAAGAACACCAGUGGCGAAGGCGGCUCACUGGCCCAUAACUGACGCUGAGGUGCGAAAGCGUGGGGAGCAAACAGGAUUAGAGACCCGCGUAGUCCCUGUCUCUUAUAC
rnacentral:rRNA from 1 species